GAAAGUUUGUUUGGUCCUCAGAAAGCCCUGCCAAUGCGGAGACGAACACGAAAGACGUUCUUGCGCUUGCUUUCGGAGGUUUCCUUCCCCGUAGUCGGCCUAGACAUUUGUCCUUGCCGCAAAGUGAGUUUCGGUCGGAUAAUCCUGAUCAUAAUUUUGGACCCUUCUCGAAUCCACACCAUCGUACAUUUCGAAGUGGCUAUCAGGAGAACUUUGUGAGGGCAAUGUUCCUGGAAGAAAGCGAUGUCCAACGUGAAUGGUAUGGCUGGUCACUCGGCGGUUAGAAACCUCAAGAGGCAAGGCUUCAUGAGUAUCACGGUCGUUCCAAACACAGCAGAUACUGCUAGUCUUUUUGGAUGAAAUCUGACAUGCUGGUUAUGAUUCAUUGUCACGUGGCCGUUCAGCAGUGAUGUCAUGGAGGAAGGCACUGAGCAACUCGGCAUUAUUGUGCAUCCUCUUGGCCAAGGACGCGACCACAGUGGCGACACGUCGUCUAGGGCUCAGCACCCCCUCCCUAUCCCUGUCAAUAAUACAACUCGAUAGGUGUCAGCUACUGACAGGCCAGAACUCAUCUCAGCACCCGAUGGACAGUGGAGUGGAGCCGCCUGGGAUGUUUACUACUACAAUGUGAUCUGGUGAGAAUCUCCUUCCCAUCUGGCUCUCAACAUCGGCUAUAAUCAUAUUGGAACCACGAUGAGAAUCAUGUACACGUAGGCACUCACGACUAUGAUGCAUGCAAAGAACAAGAAAUCACAGCAAUAUCCUAAUCAUACAUGUACAGUGUACAACACCAUCCGAUACUGGUACAGAAACGUGCCUAUGCAAGCAUUGCUGGAGAGAUUGCCCAACAAACAGAACAUGCAGAAAUCUUGACCAGAACACAAUGGAACAUGUUCUCUUCACUGCCAUGCCAUGCCUCCCAGUCUACACAAAAUAACUUAUAUAUAGCAAUGAAUGUAACAGACUACGGUGAUAAUGAGAAAUCAAGAUGCUGGCAAGGUUGAAGCAGCACAUGGUGUGUAAUUUCUACAACUCACAGGUCUAGAUCACAAUUCUAUUAUUCCCCUCAAAAUUCUGAAGACAAUGACCGGUCCCUGCCUGGAGGAGGACUAGACCAUAGCCUAGUGAUAGAGGAUCGCUGACCAUAAGCGAGUGUCCCUGGUUGAGUCAAUUUUUCUUCAGACUUUUCGCUUUUUAAUUCCCUGAAAUUUAUGGACACUUUUCUCCUCCUUGCAAUUCUUACAAUUAUUUUUGAAUCCUGCAUCCAUGAUCAGGAGGUACCGCAAGUAAAAAGUUUGUUUUGGCCUUUUCAAUGAUUUCAAUAACACUAACUACAGUGUACAUCACAAUCACAAUGUGCGUAUCGUGCUGGUUAUUAGUCUAGAUUGCAUUUACACAAACAUUUUAGGUGGCGUGCAUAGAAAACGGUUGUGCGAGAGUGUGAUCUGCAUGCCAAUACUUAUAGUUAUAUGCCA